UACAGAGGGUGCGAGCGUUGUCCGGAAUCACUGGGCGUAAAGGGCGCGUAGGUGGCGACCCAAGUCUGUGGUGAAAGCUCGUCGCUUAACGACGAGUCGGCCACGGAUACUGGGUGGCUCGAGCACUGUAGAGGCAGAUGGAAUUCCGGGUGUAGCGGUGGAAUGCGUAGAGAUCCGGAAGAACACCGGUGGCGAAGGCGGUCUGCUGGGCAGUUGCUGACACUGAGGCGCGACAGCGUGGGGAGCAAACAGG
rnacentral:rRNA from 1 species